UUGUCAAAAGUGAUUCAUUAUGUCGAAAUCAGCUAUUUAAUUUUUUUUUAUGUUUAAAAAAAAAAAGUUUUCAAAGAUUUCAACAUGAUACAAUUAUAUAACGGUGUGUUGCAUCAGAGCGUGCUUCCUCUUACAAAAAAAUGUUUAAUCCAUAAAAUCUCAAACAACGCAUUUUUAUUGGUUGAAAUCUUUGAAAAAAAAUUGAAAACACUUUUAAAAACGUGUUGUCUUUUGGCUAUCGAUUCAACCUUAUAUAAUUGAAUCAUGGAAUAGAUGUAAAUCACAUUAAAAUGUAAACAAGAAAUUCGAGGUCAUGACCAUGAUUCAAUUAAAAAGGGUUUUCCAAUAAAAGUGAUAUUAUUAAAAAAAAACACUUUUGUUGCACGUCCUGUGUGGCACGUAACCCCGUGUUGUUGGAACCAGAUGUUGUAAAGUUCAACUUCUUCGCUCUCCAUUAACAGUAACGCUGUCACCAGCCUGCAUUUCGAAAGAAGUACGGACCAAAAACCACACCUAGCUGACAAUAUAAUAAUGUAAUGGUUGUUCGUAAAUAAUUUGAUUUUCUUCGCACCAGAAUCGACAGUUUAGUUUAUUUACCACACCACUCACCAUCACCAUGACGACAAUAAACUGGCAAAAGCGCACGAAAAGUUGCAAUUGGAAAACGAUUAUUUUGAUAAUAAAAUUGAAUAAUUUGUAAACGUU